UUGAACGCUGGCGGCAUGCCUUACACAUGCAAGUCGAACGGUAGAGUAGCAAUACUCGAGAGUGGCGAACGGGUGAGUAAUAUAUCGGAACGUGCCCAGUCGUGGGGGAUAACGUAGAGAAAUUUACGCUAAUACCGCAUACGAUCUAAGGAUGAAAGCGGGGGACUCGCAAGGGCCUCGCGCGAUUGGAGCGGCUGAUAUCAGAUUAGGUUGUUGGUGAGGUAAAAGCUCACCAAGCCGACGAUCUGUAGCUGGUUUGAGAGAACGACCAGCCACACUGGGACUGAGACACGGCCCAGACUCCUACGGGAGGCAGCAGUGGGGAAUUUUGGACAAUGGGCGCAAGCCUGAUCCAGCCAUGCCGCGUGAGUGAAGAAGGCCUUCGGGUUGUAAAGCUCUUUCAGACGGAAAGAAAUCGGGCGCGUGAAUAGCGUGCCUGGAUGACGGUACUGUCAGAAGAAGCACCGGCUAACUACGU
rnacentral:rRNA from 1 species